rnacentral:rRNA from 1 species
ACAGGGAUUGCCCUAGUAACGGCGAGUGAAGCGGCAACAGCUCAAAUUUGAAAUCUGGCCUCGGCCCGAGUUGUAAUUUGCAGAGGAAGCUUUAGGCGCGGCACCUUCUGAGUCCCCUGGAACGGGGCGCCAUAGAGGGUGAGAGCCCCGUAUAGUUGGAUGCCUAGCCUGUGUAAAGCUCCUUCGACGAGUCGAGUAGUUUGGGAAUGCUGCUCAAAAUGGGAGGUAAAUUUCUUCUAAAGCUAAAUACCGGCCAGAGACCGAUAGCGCACAAGUAGAGUGAUCGAAAGAUGAAAAGCACUUUGAAAAGAGGGUUAAAUAGCACGUGAAAUUGUUGAAAGGGAAGCGCUUGUGACCAGACUUGCGCCGGGCUGAUCAUCCGGUGUUCUCACCGGUGCACUCUGCCCGGCUCAGGCCAGCAUCGGUUCUCGCGGGGGGAUAAAGGCCCAGGGAACGUAGCUCCUCCGGGAGUGUUAUAGCCCUGGGUGUAAUGCCCUCGCGGGGACCGAGGUUCGCGCAUCUGCAAGGAUGCUGGCGUAAUGGUCACCAGCGACCCGUCUUGAAACACGGACCAAGGAGUCAAGGUUUUGCGCGAGUGUUUGGGUGUAAAACCCGCACGCGUAAUGAAAGUGAACGUAGGUGAGAGCUUCGGCGCAUCAUCGACCGAUCCUGAUGUUUUCGGAUGGAUUUGAGUAGGAGCGUUAAGCCUUGGACCCGAAAGAUGGUGAACUAUGCUUGGAUAGGGUGAAGCCAGAGGAAACUCUGGUGGAGGCUCGCAGCGGUUCUGACGUGCAAAUCGAUCGUCAAAUCUGAGCAUGGGGGCGAAAGACUAAUCGAACCA